ACAGCCACACGAGGGCUUGCCCUCCGUAGCUCGAACCUCGUGAGAGCGAAGGAGGGAGGAAAGUCCGAGCUCCGCAGAGCAGAAAAGCAGCUAACAGCUGCCGGAUGGCCAAAGCUCAGAGCUCACCGCUCAAAGCUCAAAGCUAUUCAGGGAAAGUGCCACAGAAACAAACCGCUCCUGAGCGAAGCCCUGAGCAAAGCCGAAAGGCGGAGUCGAAGGGCGGAGUCGAAGGAGUAAGGGUGAAACAGUGAGGUAAGAGCUCACUAUCCCCAGGCGCAAGUCUGGGGAUGGGUAAACCCUUUUUGGAGCAAGUUCCGAUGGCUGCGUACGGCUAUACUUCUGCUCGAAGGGCCGUAGGCAAGCGGAACGCUGGAGCCCUGGUGUGAACCGGGGACUAGAGAGAUGAUCGCGCCCCGCCCUGAGCGAGGCCGCCGAGUCGAAGGGCGGGGGGUACAGAACUCGGCUUAUAUGAGUCUCUCGAG
rnacentral:RNase_P_RNA from 2 species